ACGUUUGUGGUUGAAUUAAAUCAAAUCAAUCAAUUCCUGUCGUAUUAUUUCAUGUGAUCAAUAGUCUGUUUCGUUUCGAUAAUCAUUAUUGAUUCGAAGAUACGAUAUCCGAGUCGAAGUAUUUAUUUCGAUCAUCAGAGCGAAGUCUAAUUAGUGAGAUUUUAGUUCGACUCUGAAUUGAAAAUAGUGUAUCAUUUCAUGUGAUACAAUUGUCUGUUCAGUUUUUCGGAAUGUAGACGUAUACGUGACGUUUUCAGACGUAGAAUUGACGCUUCAUAUUUUAUGUGUUUUAAAUGUGUUUUAGUUCUAAUAGUAUGCCUGUACAGGUGGUACUAUUUUCGGACGUUCUUGAUCGAAUUUUCUUCAUCGUCGGUAAAGGCAAGUGAAUGUAUUGUAUGACUAUGCUUUAACUUAAUAUUGGGUUGCCUACAUUCUUUAAUUACAGUGUAUUCAUCUAAUCUGAAUGACUGAUUCUGAGCUGGGUACUAUGUUGUUUACGUUUCCAGAAGUUUACUCGAUGAUUGAUUUAUGAAGUGCAGUAUGUUUAGAUGUUGACGUGCAUUUUAGGGAUGGAUCUUGGUAGCUGCACACACUACCUCAUCACCAUGUUGAUAGCUCAACCGGUGUUAUAAAUGGUGGUUUUGGUGGUCUGUCGUUUGCUUGGUUUAUGUCGUGGUACGACGCUGGUAGCGUCGUGAAGGUUUCUAUAUAUAUAUGCCGGUUAUGUCA